GACGAACGCUGGCGGCGUGCUUAACACAUGCAAGUCGAACGGUGAAAGCGGAGCUUGCUCCGCUGGAUCAGUGGCGAACGGGUGAGUAACACGUGGGCAACCUGCCCCUCACUUCGGGAUAACUCCGGGAAACCGGGGCUAAUACCGGAUAUGACCUCCUUGGGCACCCUUGGAGGUGGAAAGUUUCUCGGUGAGGGAUGGGCCCGCGGCCUAUCAGCUUGUUGGUGAGGUAGUGGCUCACCAAGGCGACGACGGGUAGCCGGCCGGAGAGGGCGACCGGCCACACUGGGACUGAGACACGGCCCAGACUCCUACGGGGGGCAGCAGUAGGGAAUAUUGCGCAAUGGGCGAAAGCCUGACGCAGCAACGCCGCGUGCGGGAUGAAGGCCUUCGGGUUGUAAACCGCUUUCAGCAGGGAAGAAGCCGCAAGGUGACGGUACCUGCAGAAGAAGCACCGGCUAACUACGUGCCAGCCGCCGCAGUAA
rnacentral:rRNA from 1 species